CUGAGUUCUGGGUCUAACCGACCCGACCUCCAACCCUUUGUUGUCCGACUCUGUUGCCUCGGGGGCGACCCUGACCUUCGGGUCUCGGGGACCCCCGGUGGACUAUACAAACUCUGCGUUAAUAUGUCGUCUGAGUAUUGAUUAAAUCAUAUCA
rnacentral:misc_RNA from 1 species